CUUUUCCUCUUUUGGUCCCACAGUUUUUAUGAGUCCUACUUGAAAUUAUGUUUGCUCCCGUUUCAAUUGUAAUAUUGCACUUACUCAUUAGUUUUUAGUUUGAACUCUCCUGGGAGGUCUAAUGUAGAGUUUGGACAAAGACACAGAUUCAUAAUAAACCUACCCAGUCAAUUUGGUAUAAAGGCUUAGAAGGUGGAACUGGCCACAUUUUGAAUUGGAGACGGAGUCUCACUCAGUAUCCCAGGCCGGAGUGCAAUGGUGCGAUCUCAGCUCACUGCAAGCUCCGCCUCCCGGGUUCACGCCAUUCUCCUGCCUCAGCCUCGCGAGUAGCUGGGACUACAGGCGCCUGCCACACCCGGCUAAUUUUUGUAUUUUUAGUAGAGACUGGGUUUCACCGUGUUAGCCAGGAUGGUCUCCAUCUCCUGACCUCGUGAGCCACCGCGCCCGGCUGAGACUUUUAAUUGACAGACUGCAUUGCAUAAGCCAAAGGCCAACAGAGAGGUGACCUUUCAAAUUACUGGCACAACAGGAGCCGAGAUCAGAAAGCUCCAACUUAAUGCAAACAUCGACAAGAAAUCCGACAGAAAUGACUUCUGUGUCUGGUCAACUUAACAUAACAUGACAUAUUGUCAAGCGCAUUUUGCUUUUUAGGUAGAAUUGUCUAUAACGAUUUAACUGCUUUAGAAAAUAUAAAUGUGAAGAUUUGUGGUAUUCGGGUUUAUAUAUAAGAUAUUUCUACAUUUAAAAGAGACAGAGUGGAAAAGCUUGAUAUAAGAUUUGUAAAAUAUGUUUGUAAUAAUGCUAAUGGAAGAGGUGAGAGUUGGGUGGGGUGGGGUGUAGAUGGGAACAUGGUUUGGGGAUUGGGGAAAGGGAAGUCAUGCUGUUAAUAAAAUAGUGAGGCAUGUUGUAUAAAGUGUGUUUUAUGUCUCAAUUGAAAUGUUAUAGAGAGAAAUUUAAAAUAGAUCAUGAUUGGUUUUGAAUCUGAUUUCUAAUUUUAAAAUGUUAUGAGCUUUUGUUGCUUUCCUAUUUCAUACACAUUUCUUUAUGGGUUUCACUUAGACUGCAUGAAAUUGCAGAUGCCAAUUACCUUUUAAUAAAAUUAAAUUCACAUAUAUGUAUAAUUUGCAUGUAUAUAUUCACGGAAUUUUUUAUUCUAUACGUGAUAUAUUAUUUUAAAAUGGUUUAUCAAUGACAUAACGUAUAAUUUUUCUAUACUUUCAGUUUUCUGGUUUGGAUUUUUUCUGGCAACACUAAUUUUCACCUACCUAUACUCAUUGAUAGUAUAAAGUUGUACAAGUGCAUAUUUGACCAUGAUUACAGUUGAAUAGAUGACUGGAGGUACAUCUAUGAUGACUAAUACUUUCUAAACACAUAUUUACCUCUCAUAUAUCUGUGUAAAUGAUUGUAAGAGGAAGGGGAAAAUAGAGAUGUAUCAUUAGGUAUACUGUCUUAAAGCACAUUCAGCUGCUCUCAUGUUUGGAGAAUUUUGAAUGUGAUGAAUGUUUCUCUUUCACCGCUAACAGGUUGUGUGUGUGAGCCAGAUUUUAUUGCAAGUGUUUGAAAGACUAUUGCAAAUAUCGGAUAUUGCCAGACAGUUGGUAAAAAGCAAAUUGAGUCUAUUGAGAAAUUAAUUCACCAGCUGAAGGAAGCACAUUUGCCUUACAGUCAUCAGAUAUUCUACCCACCAGACUCAUCUCCGAGAUAGCAUCCUAAUGAGCUUCCUAAACCAACUAAACAUGAGCAGGAAGCAUCAGUCGUCAAAACUGACUCUUUUCAGCCAAUCAGCUGACUGCACAAACUGUAUGGCAUUGAGGAAAGGAAGAACAUUCUGAAAGUUUUUUUUUUUCAUUCUGCCCUCACUUUGUUGGUUUCUCAGUUUUACAGAUGCAGUGUCAUGCGCAGAACCCUGUAAAUGAGCAUAGUUCAUUCAAGUAUAUAAAGUGCUUUCGUGUAUUAUUAUUCAGUGGAAUAAAAUGAAUGUUAACAGGCUUAAGUGAUUUUCCUAAAGGCACACAAUUAAUGUAUGGCUGGAAUUCAAAAUCGGGUCUUUUCCUCUGUUCUGAUUGUUCUAUAAAUAGGGGUGUAGUGAUUGAUUUUCUACCCACCAUGACAGGGAAUAGGUUCAAAACUUAAAACCCUGUUCAUUUUAUAAUUAGGUAGACUCAAAUGACAGGUCAAGGCAGGGAGGGGAGCCAGUCAUUUUUAUUCCCAUAUGGGUUUGCUCCUUCAAAGACAGGAUUGGGGUAGCAGGGUCAGUUCCUACAGGUUAUAACGAUCUUAAUGAUAAAGUUAACUAACCAUAACUGAAUAGUCAUAAUGUGCUAGCACUUUUCAUAAUGUAUCCCAAAUAAUACUCACAAAAC
rnacentral:lncRNA from 1 species